GAUGAACGCUGACAGAAUGCUUAACACAUGCAAGUCAACUUGAACUUCGGUUUGGGUGGCGGACGGGUGAGUAACGCGUAAAGAACUUGCCUCACAGCUAGGGACAACAUUUGGAAACGAAUGCUAAUACCUGAUAUUAUGAUUAUAUGGCAUCGUAUAAUUAUGAAAGCUAUAUGCGCUGUGAGAGAGCUUUGCGUCUCAUUAGCUAGUUGGAGAGGUAACAGCUCACCAAGGCGAUGAUGGGUAGCCGGCCUGAGAGGGUGAUCGGCCACAAGGGGACUGAGACACGGCCCUUACUCCUACGGGAGGCAGCAGUGGGGAAUAUUGGACAAUGGACCGAGAGUCUGAUCCAGCAAUUCUGUGUGCACGAUGAAGUUUUUCGGAAUGUAAAGUGCUUUCAGUUGGGAAGAAAAAAAUGACGGUACCAACAGAAGAAGUGACGGCUAAAUACGUG
rnacentral:rRNA from 1 species